rnacentral:rRNA from 1 species
CCUACGGGUGGCAGCAGUAGGGAAUAUUGCUCAAUGGGGGAAACCCUGAAGCAGCAACGCCGCGUGGAGGAUGAAGGUUUUAGGAUUGUAAACUCCUUUUGUUAGAGAAGAUUAUGACGGUACCUAACGAAUAAGCACCGGCUAACUCCGUGCCAGCAGCCGCGGUCAUACGGAGGGUGCAAGCGUUACUCGGAAUCACUGGGCGUAAAUAGUGCGUAGGCGGGGUAAUAAGUCAGAUGUGAAAUCCUGUAGCGUAACUACAGAACUGCAUUUGAAACUGUUACUCUGGAGUGUGGGAGGGGGAGGUGGGAAUCUGGGUGUAGGAGGAGAAUCCGUAGAGAUCAAGAGGAAUACUCGUUGGGAAGGCGAGCAGCUGGAACAUUACUGACGCUGAUGGACGAAAGCGUGGGGAGCAAACAGGAUUAGAUACCCCAGUAGUC